rnacentral:rRNA from 1 species
CUGCUGCCUCCCGUAGGAGUCUGGGCCGUGUCUCAGUCCCAAUGUGGCCGUCCACUCUCUCAAGCCGGCUACUGAUCGCUGCCUUGGUGGGCCGUUACCCCGCCAACUAGCUAAUCAGACGCGGGCCCAUCCUGUACCACCGGAGUUUUCCCCGCAGCGCCAUGCGGCGCCGCGGGCUUAUGCGGUAUUAGCAGCCGUUUCCGGCUGUUGUCCCCCUGUACAGGGCAGGUUACCCCACGCGUUACUCACCCGUCCGCCA